rnacentral:rRNA from 1 species
UACGGAGGAGGCAAGCGUUAUCCGGAAUUAUUGGGCGUAAAGCGUCCGCAGGUGGCGAUUCAAGUCUGCGGUCAAAGACUGGGGCUUAACCCUGGAAAGGCCGUGGAAACUGAAUAGCUAGAGUGCAGUAGGGGUAGAGGGAAUUCCCGGUGUAGCGGUGAAAUGCGUAGAGCUCGGGAAGAACAUCGGUGGCGAAAGCGCUCUGCUAGACUGCAACUGACACUCAGGGACGAAAGCUAGGGGAGCGAAUGGG